CAGGCGUCGAGCGGCGGACGGGUGAGUAAUACAUAGGAAUCUACCCAACUGUGGGGGAUAACUUGGGGAAACUCAAGCUAAUACCGCAUAAUCUCCAUGGAGCAAAGCGGGGGAUCUUCGGACCUCGCGCAGAUGGAUGAGCCUAUGUCUGAUUAGCUAGUUGGUGGGGUAAUGGCCUACCAAGGCGACGAUCAGUAGCUGGUCUGAGAGGAUGAUCAGCCACACCGGGACUGAGACACGGCCCGGACUCC
rnacentral:rRNA from 1 species